CCCGCCCCCUUACUUCCCUAUAUAAACCUCUAGCCGUCCAAACAAUGUCAGACAUUGCUGGAUGGCAGAGGUACUAGUGACAUGUCUGGUGGCCACACUGAGCGCUUGUCUCUUAUUGGAGCUCUGCUAGCUCUCUACUGACACCUCUGGCCAAAUUUAAUAUGACACAUUUCUGCUAACCUCAGGUUUUUACAUUAUCAUAUGUUACUUUGUGACUAUAUGGGCCUGAGGUCUUGCUAUAUGUGAUUCUGCACCGCCGGCUUCCUUCCUCUUAAUUUCAUCCAGAGGAGUCUUUCUGCGUCCUGAUAGUGGUCUCCUUUCUCUGGG